rnacentral:rRNA from 1 species
GACGAACGCUGGCGGCGUGCUUAACACAUGCAAGUCGAACGAUGAACUUGGAGCUUGCUCUGGGGGAUUAGUGGCGAACGGGUGAGUAACACGUGAGUAACCUGCCCUGGACUCUGGGAUAACUUCGAGAAAUCGGAGCUAAUACCGGAUAGGACCUUGCACCGCAUGGUGUGGGGUGGAAAGUUUUUCGGUUUGGGAUGGACUCGCGGCCUAUCAGCUUGUUGGUGAGGUAAUGGCUCACCAAGGCGUCGACGGGUAGCCGGCCGGAGAGGGUGACCGGCCACACUGGGACUGAGACACGGCCCAGACUCCUACGGGAGGCAGCAGUGGGGAAUAUUGCACAAUGGGCGCAAGCCUGAUGCAGCAACGCCGCGUGCGGGAUGACGGCCUUCGGGUUGUAAACCGCUUUUAGUAGGGAAGAAGCCUUCGGGUGACGGUACCUGCAGAAAAAGGACCGGCUAACUACGUGCCAGCCGCCGCCGUAA